rnacentral:siRNA from 1 species
CACUAAUGGUGUACGUCUUGCC